UGGGGAAUUUUGGACAAUGGGCGAAAGCCUGAUCCAGCAAUGCCGCGUGUGUGAAGAAGGCCUUCGGGUUGUAAAGCACUUUUGUCCGGAAAGAAAUGGCUCUGGUUAAUACCUGGGGUCGAUGACGGUACCGGAAGAAUAAGGACCGGCUAACUACGUGCCAGCAGCCGCGGUAAUACGUAGGGUCCAAGCGUUAAUCGGAAUUACUGGGCGUAAAGCGUGCGCAGGCGGUUGUGCAAGACCGAUGUGAAAUCCCCGAGCUUAACUUGGGAAUUGCAUUGGUGACUGUACAGCUAGAGUGUGUCAGAGGGGGGUAGAAUUCCACGUGUAGCAGUGAAAUGCGUAGAGAUGUGGAGGAAUACCGAUGGCGAAGGCAGCCCCCUGGGAUAAUACUGACGCUCAUGCACGAAAGCGUGGGGAGCAAACAGG
rnacentral:rRNA from 1 species